AUUGAACGCUGGCGGCAUGCCUUACACAUGCAAGUCGAACGGCAGCACGGGAGCUUGCUCCUGGUGGCGAGUGGCGAACGGGUGAGUAAUACAUCGGAACGUACCCAGUCGUGGGGGAUAACGCACCGAAAGGUGCGCUAAUACCGCAUACGACCUACGGGUGAAAGCGGGGGACCGUAAGGCCUCGCGCCAUUGGAGCGGCCGAUGUCUGAUUAGCUAGUUAGUGAGGUAAAGGCUCACCAAGGCUUCGAUCAGUAGCUGGUCUGAGAGGACGAUCAGCCACACUGGGACUGAGACACGGCCCAGACUCCUACGGGAGGCAGCAGUGGGGAAUUUUGGACAAUGGGCGAAAGCCUGAUCCAGCAAUGCCGCGUGUGCGAAGAAGGCCUUCGGGUUGUAAAGCACUUUUGUCAGGGAAGAAAUCUUUUAGGCUAAUACCCUGGAAGGAUGACGGUACCUGAAGAAUAAGCACCGGCUAACUACGUGCCAGCCGCCGCAGUAA
rnacentral:rRNA from 1 species